rnacentral:rRNA from 1 species
UAAAUACCCGAGUAGUCCUGGCUGUAAACGCUGUGAGCAAGAUGUUGCAUAUUCUUCGUGAAUAUGCAGUGUCGAAGAGAAGUCAUUAAGCUCACCACCUGGGAAGUAUGGUCGCAAGGCUGAAACUUAAAGGAAUUGGCGGGGGAGCACCACAAGGGGUGCGGCGUGCGGUUUAAUCUAAUUCAACACAGAGCAUCUCACCAGCGGCGACGGCAGGAUGAAGGUCAGUCUGAAGGGCUUACCUGACGAGCCGAGAGGUAGUGCAUGGCCGCCGUCAGCUCGUGCUGUAAGGUGUCCUGUUAAGUCAGGCAACGAGCAAGACCUGUAUCUACAAUUGCUAACGACUCUUUUAAGAGGAUUGAGCACUUUGUAGGGACUGCCUUCGAAAGAAGGAGGAAGGUGCAGGCAACGGUAGGUCUGUAUGCUCCGAAUCUGCUGGGCUACACGCGCGCAACAAUGGUAAGGACAAAAGGAUGCGACUCCGAAAGGAGGAGCUAACCCCAUAAACCUUAUCUUAGUCUAGAUUGAGGAUUGUAACUCAUCCUCAUGACACCGGAAUCCCUAGUAA